AAUAGAUACCCAGGUAGUCCACGCCGUAAACGAUGAGUGCUAAGUGUUGGGGGAUUUCCGCCCCUCAGUGCUGCAGCUAACGCAUUAAGCACUCCGCCUGGGGAGUACGGUCGCAAGACUGAAACUCAAAGGAAUUGACGGGGGCCCGCACAAGCGGUGGAGCAUGUGGUUUAAUUCGAAGCAACGCGAAGAACCUUACCAGGUCUUGACAUCCCGGUGACCACUAUGGAGACAUAGUUUCCCCUUCGGGGGGCAACGGUGACAGGUGGUGCAUGGUUGUCGUCAGCUCGUGUCGUGAGAUGUUGGGUUAAGUCCCGCAACGAGCGCAACCCUUAUUCUUAGUUGCCAUCAUUCAGUUGGGCACUCUAAGGAGACUGCCGGUGAUAAACCGGAGGAAGGUGGGGAUGACGUCAAAUCAUCAUGCCCCUUAUGACCUGGGCUACACACGUGCUACAAUGGACGGUCAAACGGUUGCCAACCCGCGAGGGGAGCUAAUCCGAUAAAACCGUUCUCAGUUCGGAUUGUAGGCUGCAACUCGCCUAC
rnacentral:rRNA from 1 species